rnacentral:rRNA from 1 species
AUUGAACGCUGGCGGCAUGCUUUACACAUGCAAGUCGAACGGCAGCACGGGUGCUUGCUCCUGUUGUCGAGUGGCGAACGGGUGAGUAAUACAUCGGAACACGUCCCGUUACGGGGGGUAGCCCUGCGAAAGCCGGGUUAAAACCCCGUACGAUCUACGGAAUACAUCGGGGGACUUGCGAGGCUCGGGCUGUCGGGGAUGCCGAGGGCUGAUUAGCUCGUUGGUGGGGUAAAGUCCUAUCAAGGCGACGAUAAGUAGCGGGGCUGAGAGGACGAGCAGCCACACUGGGACUGAGACACGGCCCAGACUCCUACGGGAGGCAGCAGUAGGGAAUGUUGGGCAAUGGGCGAAAGCCUGAUACAGCAAUGCCGCGUGUGUGAAGAAGGCCUUCGGGUCGUAAAGCACUUUUGUCCGGAAAGAAAUGCUUGGCCCUAAUACGGUCGGGGGAUGACGGUACCGGAUGAAUAAGCACCGGCUAACUACGUG